rnacentral:lncRNA from 1 species
AUUUACCCUUACUCAAUAUGUGUUUUUAACAUGUUGGGCUUGAAUGAUUGACUUCAAUGUGGAAUUAGUUGCACAUAUGGCCCAAUAUAUGUUGAUCUCACAUGAGAAGCCGUGUUGAAGAAUAUGUAUAUACUUCGUGUUGAAGAAUAUGUAUAUACUUUGUUUUGAAUGUUUUAUGAAUUAUGUAAAGAAGAGACAAUGUCGUGAAUUCAAUGCUACAUGAUUUUAGACAUAUAAAAAUAAAAUUAACAAUGAAAAUGUCUAUUAUAAAGUCAGAUCCAAAUAGUUGUAGUCACAAAAAAAUUUGAACAAGAACACCC